AUACGGAGGAUCCGAGCGUUAUCCGGAUUUAUUGGGUUUAAAGCGAGCGUAGGCGGAUGUUUAAGUCAGUUGUGAAAGUUUAAGGCUCAACCUUGAAAUUGCAGUUGAUACUGGACGUCUUGAGUGCAUUAAAAGUGGGCGGAAUUCGUGGUGUAGCGGUGACAUGCUUAGAUAUCACGAAGAACUCCAAUUGCGAAGGCAGCUUACUGGACUGUAACUGACGCUGAUGGUCGAAAGUGUGGGUAUCAAACAGGAUUAGAUACCCUGGUAGAGCGGACAGUAAACGAUGAAUACUCGCGGUUUGCGAUAUACAGUAAGCGGCCAAGCGAAAGCGUUAAGUAUUACACCUGGCGAGUACGCCGGCAACGGUGA
rnacentral:rRNA from 1 species